rnacentral:rRNA from 1 species
CGGACGGGUGAGUAACGCGUGGGUAACCUGCCUCAUACAGGGGGAUAACAGUUAGAAAUGACUGCUAAUACCGCAUAAGACCACGGAGCCGCAUGGCUCAGUGGGAAAAACUCCGGUGGUAUGAGAUGGACCCGCGUCUGAUUAGGUAGUUGGUGGGGUAACGGCCUACCAAGCCAACGAUCAGUAGCCGACCUGAGAGGGUGACCGGCCACACUGGGACUGAGACACGGCCCAG